rnacentral:misc_RNA from 1 species
GCUUUAAGCAAGCUGAAAGAAGCAAUGGAGGAACCUCAGCAUGAAACAAUAGCUUUCAUCAAUAGCAUGCAUCUGCAACUUAGGGAGCUCACUACAACGUAUCCUGAAACUUCUGAUGAGCCUUCCACCACUUCAUCAGACAUCAGGAGGAAGCAUGACUAAUACAUGAUGGACCCAAGAAUGAACAAAAUGCAGAGUUGAUUUUUGAUGAAAUUCAU